CUUUACUGUAGCCUGGAAUUAGCUUCGGGCUUCGCUUGCGCAGUAUAGGUGGGAGGCGUUGAUACUUUCCUUGUGGGGAUGAUGGAGUCAUCGGUGAGAUACCACUCUAACCAAGCUAGAAUUCUAACCGCUUGCCGUGACCCGGCAGCGGAACCGUAUCAGGUGGGCAGUUUGACUGGGGCGGUCGCCUCCUAAAAGGUAACGGAGGCGCGCAAAGGUUCUCUCAGGCUGGUUGGAAAUCAGCCGUAGAGUGUAAAGGCAUAAGAGAGCUUGACUGCGAGACCAACACGUCGAGCAGGGUGGAAACACGGCCUUAGUGAUCCGACGGCGCUGCGUGGAAAGGCCGUCGCUAAACGGAUAAAAGUUA
rnacentral:rRNA from 1 species